GUGGGGAAUAUUAGGCAAUGGGCGAAAGCCUGACCUAGCAACGCCGCGUGAAGGAAGAAGGCCUUCGGGUUGUAAACUUCUUUUAUGAGGGACGAAGGACGUGACGGUACCUCAUGAAUAAGCCACGGCUAACUACGUGCCAGCAGCCGCGGUAAUACGUAGGUGGCGAGCGUUGUCCGGAUUUACUGGGUGUAAAGGGCGCGUAGGCGGACUGGCAAGUCAGAUGUGAAAUACAGGGGCUCAACCCCUGAACUGCAUUUGAAACUGUUGGUCUUGAGUAUCGGAGAGGCAAGCGGAAUUCCUAGUGUAGCGGUGAAAUGCGUAGAUAUUAGGAGGAACACCAGUGGCGAAGGCGGCUUGCUGGACGACAACUGACGCUGAGGCGCGAAAGCGUGGGGAGCAAACAGGAUUAGAAACCCGUGUAGUCC
rnacentral:rRNA from 1 species